CAACAUCUCCAGUCUGGAUAUCUCUGACAACGGUCUGGACUCUGACCUGUCCACUCUGCUGGUGUGGCUGGCCAAGAACCGAUCCAUCCGACAUCUCUCACUGGGGAAGAACUUCAACAACAUCAAGUCCAAAAAUCUGGCCCCUGUCCUGGACAAUCUGGUUCAUAUGAUUCAGGAAGAGGAAUCGGUGAGUUUUCCAUCAGUAUGAGUUGAAUGUCAUGAUCAGAGAAACCCUGAGUGUCUUUCCUAGUCAACCAAGGUGGUUUCGUAACACUUAAUCCACCUGCCAGGCUACACAGCAGCAAGUAUUACUGUCUGAAACGGAUGUGUUGCUGCUGCUGUCUUGGUCCAGGUGUCUCUUGAAAAAUACGGUUUUAUCUCAACCCACAUGGUUAAAGGUUUUUAUCUCAAUUUCAAAUAAUUUCUGGGUAAAAAAAUGUUAACCUUAUUGUGCUUGUUUUCAAUUAAAAUGGUCAACAAGAAACAAAAAUAGCUUCUUAGCAAAGAGCAAUUUCUCAAACAAGAACUUUGCUGGACUGUCUGAGUAAACUGAAAUCUAACUGUUAUUUUUAUUUGA